ACACCUCAACUCCCGUGGUUCGCCACGGUGAGCUUGGACUCUGGGGGUUUUGCUGGCCUGUGGUCGGCUCCUCUCAAAUGAAUUAGCCUGCCAGUGUUUGGUGGCGUCACGGGUGUGAUAAAUAUCUACGCUUGCGAUUGCCCACCAGGUAACCUUCAGCAAUGGGGGUUCACUGGGGCUCAUAGACGUCUCUCCCUCAGUGAGGACAACUCUUUAAC
rnacentral:misc_RNA from 1 species